UACAAAAUGCUUUGCAAAUUUAAUAACAACUUAUUUAAGUAGCAGAUAUUAAGAGCUUUAGACAGAUUAUGCGAUGUGUCUGUAAAAUAUAGGUGAUGUCACCUAUAUGACAUGGUAAAGGUAUAUGUAUACCUUAGUGUGAAACUUCAACACAAAAUACAAAUGUCAAAUGAUUGAAAUGUAUUUAAAAAGUUUAAACGAAAACCGUUAAAAUAAAGCUUUAAAAAAUGAUAUACAUAAUAUUACCAAUGCUAGCUGGGGCAUCGUUCACUUCUUGUAUCUACUGCUUCUGUUGCAAAAGAUAAAUUUAAGAUAUACCGUAUAUUAGUGCUGGUAACAAUUGGUCAACGCCGACAACAAAGUGUCCACAUGUUCCAUUCAUUCUUGUGGGAUCAUGAGCGAGAUGCUUUUUCCUCAUACAAUUAUGAAAACUGUCACCUCUAUGCUAAUGUCGUGGUGUAUGGAAUAUACUUGGACUAAAUUGGUUGUGAAGAAAAUUUAAUAAACUGGAGGUAUAUUUAU